rnacentral:sRNA from 1 species
UCAUAAAUGCAGGCCGAGGUUCACUUUGA